GGCUGCAGCUGCACGGCUCUUGGCCCAACGGCCAUCCACUCUGACAAACCCUAAAUGCCGAAGGAAGUGGUUAUUGUAGAUGUCAGUGUUUGACAAUCUACAAACAAUCUCUCUUUUCAAAGCUCACUUUAGACUUCCUAAAUAUCACUGUCAGGGCCAUUCUAUAAGGCAAGAGAGCUUUGGAUCUAUACAAGGCCUCCCUCAUGGCAUCAAUCAUCAGGAAUG
rnacentral:lncRNA from 1 species